UACGAAGGGUGCAAACGUUGCUCGGAAUUAUUGGGCGUAAAGCGCACGUAGGCGGCAUUGCAAGUCGGAUGUGAAAUCCCUCGGCUUAACCAAGGAAGUGCAUCCGAAACUGCAGUGCUUGAGUACGAAAGAGGAUCGCGGAAUUCCCGGUGUAGAGGUGAAAUUCGUAGAUAUCGGAAGGAACAUCAGUGGCGAAAGCGACUUCCUGGACCAGUACCGACGUUCAGGCACGAAAGCGUGGGGAGCAAACAGG
rnacentral:rRNA from 1 species